GCCGGCUUAGCUCAAUUGGUAGAGCAACUGACUUGUAAUCAGUAGGUUGGGGGUUCAAGU
rnacentral:tRNA from 1 species